ensembl:lncRNA novel transcript
GGGUCCAGUGUCUCCGGCGUGUCCUGCAUCUCGGCAGCCAGCUCCUCUGCAGCUCAGGCCCCGUGAGUCACAGCCGCUUCCUCAAAUGCUUUGGCUGACCGCAUCCCCCCGCCCCGCCAGAACCCUGGAUGCCGGAGCCCUCCCAGCGAGAGCCGUGUUUAUUUUACUUUACAUACAUUUUCCAACACGGAGCGGCUUGCACACAUGCAGCUCUUAGGCCCGGGCCGCACGUCUCAGAAGCCCCGUGUGCGACUUUGACCGCCGCACGAUCCUCUGCCGGGGGAGGUGGGCCCGCUGCGCUUUGGGAGCACCCGCGCCCGACACUGAGGUCUCGGUGCUGUGUUCGGCCUCUUCGUCCCUGCGGGUCCCCUCUGGGAGCAGAGGCGGUCGGAAAACCCUGGGGCUGAAGUGCAGGCUUCGGGAGGACGCGACCUGCCAAGAUCAGCUCCCGGCACGUGAUGGGAGCCUGGCUCACCUUCCCCCAGCGCACGAUGGGCCGCAGCCUCCCCGGUCGGCCUGGCCUGCUGGAAAGGAGCAGCUCUGUUUCCAGAGGCUUCUGGCGAAGCCCACGGCCUCCCAUUGUUGGCUGAUUUAUAAGGAAAGAGGGGAAAGGCCAAGUGUGGAUGCCAUUAGCAUAACCUAAUCCAGACCCCAUGACAAGUCCAGGAUCCUGCAGGGAGAGGGCAUCCUUGAACGUGAAGGACUGGCUUUGGAAACUUGGCCUCCCGGAAGAAAGGUCUCCGGGCCCACCCACACCCACCUUGUGGACGCCCCCGCAGUCGAAUACACUCCACAGGAAGACGGACCACAAACAGCAGCAGCCUCCGGUGUCGGCCCAGUGAUCCGGGAGCUCAGAGUUGGCUCUGCAGAAACCCAUGAAAGAGGAUCCUGAAAGAGCAAGGGCGGCCUCCAGGUGAAGGUGGUGGGCGGCCUCCAGGUGAAGGCGGCCUCCAGGUGAAGGUGGUCAGCACCCUCCCUUUGGCCAAGAGGAGACUGCAGUUUCAACUCAAAGAUUAUUCCUGAAUGAUGCAGCAAGCUUAAACUUCCUUAAAAACAAACCUCUGGGAAGAGGAAAACGAGGCAAGAUGCUGAGAAAAAGUCAUCUCCCACUCUGCCCUUCUCUGGCAAAUCGAAGUGUCCUCUUGUGGGAGGCGGUGGGCAGCGACACUCCUGUUGGACGUCAGUGCUCUCGGGAUGGGCCCGGCCACCCCGGAGCAGAACUCACUUAGGGCCUGGUGCCCCUGUGCCCAGUUCUCAGAACGUCGGAGUGCUCAGUUCUCAGAACGCCGGAGUGCCCCAUUCAUAACCUGCAGCCCCGUUCAUAGCCUGCAGCUCCCCUCCUUCCUCUCCUCCCGGUCGUCAGGGAGCACCCCCAGCUCCCCUCCCCACUCUCAAACCCUCCUCCUCCCUCCCCUCUCUCAUUUCCCUGUUUGCAGGAUCUCCUCCUGCCCACUCUCCAGCCCAGGUCCUCCCCUCUCAUCUCCAAUUCUGCUUCAUGGGCCAUGACAGCAGGCAGGCCAUGGCCUGCUCUCAGCAGUUUGAUCGAUGGACUAAGGAGAUCACUCCUAUGAGAGUGAAAAAGUCAAAUGUGCCUGAGAUUCGGAUGGGGAGCUCUCAAAGCUACG